GUGCAGUGAUUGGCCGCCGUCCCGUACGUGUGCGAGGGCCAGCUGAGCGGCGUGUCGAGCUCGAGUCGGGCUGUUGGUGUGGCGAAGGAUCAGGUCUCCUAGAGAGGGCUUCCGACUCUUCACUGGAGGACAAAACAGUGUUUGUUGUUCACCUUUGCCCCAGAAUGCUCCGUCCUCGUCCCGCUCAGCAGAAGAGGCGUUCAGCCGGCAGCACUCUGGGAUCAGCGACAGGAACUUGUCUGCAGACUUUCCAUACAGCCCACGCGCCGCCCACACAGCCGAGUUCAUCCGAGGGCCUCAAGGCUGCAUCACAAACACACACAUAUGCAUGCAUACACACCCUGGAGUUGCUGCUGAUGCGCGUGAGCAGCGUGUCCAGGAUGGUGUCGUUGUCGUGGCGAUGCAGCAGGAUGAAGCGCAGGAAGGUUUUGAGGAGGGAAGUCUCCGUCACACUGCGCAGGAAAAGAUCCAGGGCAGGACCCAUGACCGGUACAAGGAAGCCGUUGUGGAGGUAGUCCAGGAGCUGAGAGCGGACCAGGGGGUGGGCGACCUGCACCACGGCGUUGCAGAACUCCAGCGAGUUCAUGAAGAGCACGAGCGACGACACGCCCAUCCAGUCCUCCCGCCGUAGGGCAUGCCAGUCAUCCCCUCGGACUUCAAUCUUCCUGGGCAGAGAGGAGUAGAGAGCGCUGAGGCCCGUCGCCAGCACCUGAGGAGAGGCAGACAGGUUUCAGAAGUACGAGUUCUCAGCGAUGUAUCGUGCCACGGCCUCAUGGCUGGCUGAGGCCGCCAUCACCAGCAGCAGAGCGUCUCGGGCCUGCUGUCCGAUGGCUCCGUCCCGGUGGAUGAACGGCACCAGGAGGGAGAAGAUCAGCAGGUUGGUGGAGCCCUGCUGGGCCGGUGCAGCCCGGAACAACAUCUCUAGGACCACCGGCUGCCGGGCCAUGGACACGCAGACCUGAUGGGGAGCAGCAGGGUGUCAGUGAAUGAAAUGAUCAAACUGGACUGAAUGUGGAACCUGAACAAAGAUGAGUUUGACUCCCUGUACUAGAGUACACAUCAGAGAGGACUGCAGGUUUUCAUGUACCUGGUUGAGCAGCAGCACCAGACUGUUCUCCAGAGCCGAAGG